rnacentral:rRNA from 1 species
CCUACGGGAGGCAGCAGUCGAGAAUAUUCGACAAUGGGCGAAAGCCUGAUCGAGCGACGCCGCGUGCAGGAAGAAGGGCUUCGGUCUGUAAACUGCUUUUAAUGGAUAAUAAGUUAUUGAAUAUCCAUGGAAUAAGGGGCUGCAAACCUCGUGCCAGCAGCCGCGGUAAUACGAGGGCCCCGAGCGUUAUCCGGAUUUAUUGGGCGUAAAGAGCGAGUAGGUGGUUUGGUGCGUCCGUUGUUAAAUGUCUCCGCUUAACGGGGUCACCGCAAUGGAUACGGCCAAACUAGAGGGUACCAGAGGCAGAUAGAACGCACGGUGUAGGGGUGAAAUCCGUUGAUAUCGUGCGGAAUACCAAAGGCGAAGGCAGUCUGCUGGAGUACUCCUGACACUCAAUCGCGAAAGCGUGGGGAGCAAAAAGGAUUAGAUACCCUUGUAGUCCACGCCCUAAACUUUGCCGACUGGCUAUUCCGAGUAUCGACCCUCGGGGUGGCGAAGCUAACGCGUUAAGUCGGCCGCCUGGGAAGUACGGCCGCAAGGCUAAAACUCAAAUGAAUUGACGGGG